AAGUCGUAACAAGGUUUCCGUAGGUGAACCUGCGGAAGGAUCAUUAACACGUCCUAGCACGUUUUAACAAACUCCACACCACAUUCUGUGAACCAUUUUAUUCUUUUUUAAUUUAUAACCCCUUUUUUUGACUCUAACCUUCAACCCCUAGUUGACUGAUCAAAAAAUAAUAGCAUCAUGUUUAUUCAUGUGUGUUGUUGUGAGAAUGAAGGACAAUUUUUUGUUUUUCAUUUUUUUAUAUGAAAAUUAUAAGCACAACUCUUAGCAAUGGAUAUCUUGGUUCUC
rnacentral:misc_RNA from 1 species